AAACCAGCACCUCAAGUGGUCAGGAGGAUUAUUGGGCCUAAAGCAUCCGUAGCCGGCUCUGUAAGUUUUCGGUUAAAUCUGUACGCUCAACGUACAGGCUGCCGGGAAUACUGCAGAGCUCGGGAGUGGGAGAGGUAGACGGUACUUGGUAGGAAGGGGUAAAAUCCUUUGAUCUACUGAUGACCACCUGUGGCGAAGGCGGUCUACCAGAACACGUCCGACGGUGAGGGAUGAAAGCUGGGGGAGCAAACCGGAUUAGAAACCCCAGUAGUCC
rnacentral:rRNA from 1 species